rnacentral:rRNA from 1 species
CUCUGAAGAGAGAGUCAAAGACCGUGAAACCGCUCAGAGUAUAAGCCCAUGGAGCUUGGAAGGCAUAUCGCUAGCGGGGCAUCGGUCUCCCUUCACGGGGAGCUGGUGUUACCUUGCUUCUGUUGUGGCUCGUUAUGGUAGGGGGGUCAAGUCCACAUCCCGCCGUCGUGUGGGGAGUUCUCGGGNGUGUCGUUGCUUUGCGGCUUCGACUUCGGUUGGCCGUAGCGUCUUCGCGCUUGGUUCUCCUUUGGUCACGAACGUUCAGACUCAGUUGCAAGACGCGAUAACCAGCCCACCACGGCACGUUGUGAGGUCACCCACAGGCUUGCUUUCGAUUGUGGUCCUUGACGCCGAGCAAGCACAAUGCGUGUCGCAGAUGUUCCUAACCGGGCAAUGGGCCAGGAUCGUGGACGAAACGCGCUCAAAAGUCAGGACCGGGCGAUGACAAAGUUCUGGUAUGAUCCUCAUGCGACGAGCCGGCUUCUGGCCGAUUCCGAUGCUCAGGUCUCUCGCAUGUGCCGCGGGAGAUCGCUUUGGCGGUCUGGAUCUCAAAGAGUCCUCUCAGCCGGGCAACGGAAAGAGUGGUGUAAAGUCCAAGCCCAUGGGUCACGUCUCGAAACACGGGCCAAGGAGUAUAGCAUGUGUGCAAGUCUAAGGGUCUCACAAAACCCCGAAGGCGAAGUGAAAGCAAGUAAGCGGCGGGUGAUCUACGGAGAGAUCCCGUCAGCUAGAGGGGCCUUCGGGGUCUCUCCGGCUUUGGCAGAGUUGAUCCUGCAGCGGUACNGCAUACGUACGCUCAGGCGCAAACUCCAGGCUCACGUUUCGCACUGGUCUCGGACUGUGCUGUGAGCACCGUGGAGCAUGCAUGC